rnacentral:RNase_P_RNA from 1 species
UGAGUCGUUCGGGCAAUCGCGGAACGGGGUCGUAUCAAUGUGCGAUACGGCAUUCAACCCGCCCCGAGGAAAGUCCGGGCUCCAUAGGGCGGCGGCGUCGCUAACGGCGACCGUGCGAAGGGAUGCCAGCCGGGAAACUGGUUGGCGGCCCGAAGCAUAGGGAUAGUGCCACAGAAAACAAACCGCCCGAAGUCUUGAGGGGGAGGCCAUGAAGCGAAGAGCUUCGCGGUAGCCUCCGGUGACGGACGAGGGCAAGGGUGAAAAGGUGGGGUAAGAGCCCACCGCAUGUCUGGCGACAGGCAUGGCAUGGUAAACCCGCCGCGGAGCAAGGCCAAAUAGGACCCGAGAUGCUGCCCGCAUCGUUUGAAGGGUCGGGUAGGCUGCUCGAGGGUGUUGGCAACAGCACUCCCAGACGAAUGGUUGCCGCCCGUACAAUGUGUGUGCGGGAACAAAACCCGGCUUACAGAACGGCUCGAAGC